rnacentral:rRNA from 1 species
CCUACGGGUGGCAGCAGUAGGGAAUCUUCCACAAUGGGCGCAAGCCUGAUGGAGCAACACCGCGUGAGUGAAGAAGGGUUUCGGCUCGUAAAGCUCUGUUGUUGGAGAAGAACGUGCGUGAGAGUAACUGUUCACGCAGUGACGGUAUCCAACCAGAAAGUCACGGCUAACUACGUGCCAGCAGCCGCGGUAAUACGUAGGUGGCAAGCAUUAUCCGGAUUUAUUGGGCGUAAAGCGAGCGCAGGCGGUUGCUUAGGUCUGAUGUGAAAGCCUUCGGCUUAACCGAAGAAGUGCAUCGGAAACCGGGCGACUUGAGUGCAGAAGAGGACAGUGGAACUCCAUGUGUAGCGGUGGAAUGCGUAGAUAUUAGAAGGAACACCAAUAGCGUAGGCAGGUUGCUGGGACGGUUCUGACACUAAGGCACGAAAGCGUAGGGAGCAAACGGGAUUAGAUACCCUUGUAGUC